CCCGACUUCGGUUGGGUGAAAGUGGCAAACGGGUGAGUAACACGUUGGUGACCUGCCCCCUGGCGGGGGAUAACCCUGGGAAACCAGGGCUAAUACCGCAGAUGUUUGAAGCAUUAGAAACUUCAAACUAAAACUACGGUGCCAGGGGAGGGGCCUGCGGGCUAUCAGCUAGUUGGUGGGGUAAAGGCCUACCAAGGCACAGACGGCUAGGGGGCGUGAGAGCGCGACCCCCCACAAGGGAACUGAGACACGGUCCCUACUCCUACGGGAGGCAGCAGUGAGGAAUAUUGCCCAAUGGAGGAAACUCUGAGGCAGCAACGCCGCGUGAACGAUGACGGCCUUCGGGUUGUAAAGUUCUUUUCUCAGGGAAGAUAAUGACGGUACCUGAGGAAUAAGUCCCGGCUAACUACGUGCCAGCAGCCGCGGUAAAACGUAGGGGACAAGCGUUAUCCGGAUUUACUGGGCGUAAAGCGCCCGUAGGCGGCUUGAUAAGUUGGACGUGAAAGCUCCCGGCUUAACUGGGAGAGGCCGUUCAAAACUGCCAAGCUAGAGUGAGGAAGAGGAGAGCAGAAUUCCCGGUGUAGUGGUGGAAUGCGUAGAGAUCGGGAGGAAUGCCAGUGGCGAAAGCGGCUCUCUGGUCCUAAACUGACGCUGAGGGGCGAAAGCGUGGGGAGCGAACGGGAUUAGAUACCCCGGUAGUCCACGCCGUAAACGAUGGAGACUAGGUGUAGGUGGAUAGAACCCCAUCUGUGCCGAAGCCAACGCGUUAAGUCUCCCGCCUGGGGAGUACGGCCGCAAG
rnacentral:rRNA from 1 species